AUUGAACGCUGGCGGCAGGCCUAACACAUGCAAGUCGAGCGAGCGGCGGACGGGUGAGUAAUGUCUGGGAAACUGCCUGAUGGACGGGGAUAACUACUGGAAACGGUAGCUAAUACCGCAUACCAUCAGAUGUGCCCAGAUGGGAUUAGCUAGUAGGUGGGGUAACGGCUCACCUAGGCGACGAUCCCUAGCUGGUCUGAGAGGAUGACCAGCCCCACUGGAACUCGGACCCAGUCCAUACUCCUACGGGAGGCAGCAGUGUGGAAUAUUGCGCAAUGGGCGCAAGCCUGAUGCAGCCAUGCCGCGUGUGUGAAGAAGGCCUUCGGGUUGUAAAGCACUUUCAGCGAGGAUGCGUUACCCGCAGAAGAAGCACCGGCUAACUCCGUGCCAGCAGCCGCGGUAAUAC
rnacentral:rRNA from 1 species